GACGAACGCUGGCGGCGUGCUUAACGCAUGCAAGUCGAACGGAAAGGCCCUGCUUUUGUGGGGUGCUCGAGUGGCGAACGGGUGAGUAACACGUGAGUAACCUGCCCUUGACUUUGGGAUAACUUCAGGAAACUGGGGCUAAUACCGGAUAGGAGCUCCUGCUGCAUGGUGGGGGUUGGAAAGUUUCGGCGGUUGGGGAUGGACUCGCGGCUUAUCAGCUUGUUGGUGGGGUAGUGGCUUACCAAGGCUUUGACGGGUAGCCGGCCUGAGAGGGUGACCGGCCACAUUGGGACUGAGAUACGGCCCAGACUCCUACGGGAGGCAGCAGUGGGGAAUAUUGCACAAUGGGCGGAAGCCUGAUGCAGCAACGCCGCGUGCGGGAUAACGGCCUUCGGGUUGUAAACCGCUUUCGCCUGUGACGAAGCGUGAGUGACGGUAAUGGGUAAAGAAGCACCGGCUAACUACGUG
rnacentral:rRNA from 1 species